CACUAAGAAGCUAAACUGGAUCUCAGCAUCAGCCUUUUAAUCUGAAUAUUGGUGGCUUCCAAUCACCCUUAGUGG
rnacentral:tRNA from 1 species